rnacentral:rRNA from 1 species
AACGAACGCUGGCGGCAUGCCUAACACAUGCCAGUCGAACGAGACCUUCGGGUCUAGUGGCGCACGGGUGCGUAACGCGUGGGAACCUGCCCUUAGGUUCGGAAUAACUCCCCGAAAGGGGUGCUAAUACCAGAUAAUGUCUUCGGACCAAAGAUUUAUCGCGUUUGGAUGGGCGCGCGUUGGAUUAGCUAGUUGGUAGGGUAAAAGCCUACCAAGGCCACGAUCCAUAGCUGGUCUGAGAGGAUGAUUCGCCACACUGGGACUGGGACACGGCCCAGACUCCUACGGGAGGCAGCAGUGGGGAAUACUGGACAAUGGGCGAAAGCCUGAUCCAGCAAUGCCGCGUGAGCGAUGAAGGCCUUAGGGUUGUAAAGCUCUUUUACCCGGGAUGAUAAUGACAGUACCGGGAGAAUAAGCUCCGGCUAACUCCGUG